rnacentral:rRNA from 1 species
GACGAACGCUGGCGGCGUGCUUAACACAUGCAAGUCGAACGGAAAGGCCCUGCUUUUGUGGGGUGCUCGAGUGGCGAACGGGUGAGUAACACGUGAGUAACCUGCCCUUGACUUUGGGAUAACUUCAGGAAACUGGGGCUAAUACCGGAUAGGAGCUCCUGCUGCAUGGUGGGGGUUGGAAAGUUUCGGCGGUUGGGGAUGGACUCGCGGCUUAUCAGCUUGUUGGUGGGGUAGUGGCUUACCAAGGCUUUGACGGGUAGCCGGCCUGAGAGGGUGACCGGCCACAUUGGGACUGAGAUACGGCCCAGACUCCUCCGGGAGGCAGCAGUGGGGAAUAUUGCACAAUGGGCGGAGGCCUGAUGCAGCAACGCCGCGUGCGGGAUGACGGCCUUCGGGUUGUAACCCGCUUUCGCCUGUGACGAAGCGUGAGUGACGGUAAUGGGUAAAGAAGCACCGGCUAACUACGUG